rnacentral:rRNA from 1 species
AACGAACGCUGGCGGCAGGCCAACACAUGCAAGUCGAGCGCCCCGCAAGGGGAGCGGCGGACGGGUGAGUAACACGUGGGAAUUUUCCUCAAGGUACGGAACAACUCAGGGAAACUUGGGCUAAUAGCGUAUGAUGCAGAGAUGCCAAAGAUUUAUCGCCUUGGGAUAAGCCCGCGUCUGAUUAGCUAGUUGGUGAGGUAAUGGCUCACCAAGGCGACGAUCAGUAGCUGGUCUGAGAGGAUGAUCAGCCACACUGGGACUGAGACACGGCCCAGACUCCUACGGGAGGCAGCAGUGGGGAAUCUUGCGCAAUGGGCGAAAGCCUGACGCAGCCAUGCCGCGUGAAUGAUGAAGGUCUUAGGAUUGUAAAAUUCUUUCACCGGGGACGAUAAUGACGGUACCCGGAGAAGAAGCUCCGGCUAACUUCGUGCCAGCCGCCGCAGUAAUAC